GACGAACGCUGGCGGCGUGCUUAACACAUGCAAGUCGAGCGAUGAAGUUCCUUCGGGAAUGGAUUAGCGGCGGACGGGUGAGCAACACGUGGGUAACCUGCCUCAUAGAGGGGAAUAACCUUUCGAAAGGAAGAUUAAUACCGCAUAAGAUUGUAGCUUCGCAUGAAGCAGCAAUUAAAGGAGUAAUCCGCUAUGAGAUGGACCCGCGUCGCAUUAGCUAGUUGGUGAGGUAACGGCUCACCAAGGCGACGAUGCGUAGCCGACCUGAGAGGGUGAUCGGCCACAUUGGGACUGAGACACGGCCCAGACUCCUACGGGAGGCAGCAGUGGGGAAUAUUGCACAAUGGGGGAAACCCUGAUGCAGCAACGCCGCGUGAGUGAUGACGGUCUUCGGAUUGUAAAACUCUGUCUUCAGGGGCGAUAAUGACGGUACCUGAGGAGGAAGCCACGGCUAACUACGUGCCAGUCGCCGCCGUAAUAC
rnacentral:rRNA from 1 species